rnacentral:lncRNA from 1 species
GCGGAACCCGUCAUCAGCUAAGUACAGAGCGGGCGGCGGGCGGGGCGGCGGCCGGGGAAAUUGCCGGUUCCCGUGCCCCGCGGGGCCUGCGGGCGCCCCGAGUCUGGGGGCCCGGGGCGGGCGGGCCGGGGUCCGGGGGAUCCCGGGGGGUCACGGGCGGCCCGGGUCCGAGUGCGCCGGUACUGAGCUCGAGAACGGCCCCCGCUGGGGAAGGAGCCGCUGGCAGCGCGGGGGCCGCGCGCAGGGCAGGGGGCGGCGGCGGCGCCGGCGCGGGCGGGGAGGGAGGGCGCGGCUCCGGGCGCGGGGCCAGGUCGGGCGGCCCGGGGCUCCGCGGGGGACGCGCGGCGAGGACGCGGGGCUCUCGGCACCCCUCUCCCGUAGCGGGGCCCUGCCCCGGCUCUUAGAAAGAGCAUUGGGCUCCGGGCCAGAGCGCCGUGGGGCCAGCGCCCCAGCCCUUAGUGAAUUGCUUCAUCUGCCACUCAUGUCCUGCGCCCUGGAAGCUGCAGAGAGAGCCUCGGCUCCCCGUGCAAGCGCUGGGCUGACAACUGACAGCGGCGACGCUUGGAAUGAGACGUCCAAGGGUUCAAGGGUCAACUCUUUCCUCCAGGCCUAGCAGAUCAUAGAUACUCCUUCUUCUUAAACUUAUUAAGGAAAAAGGCAGUCACUCAUGCCUUCCGCCAACAAAUAUUGACUGAGCACCUACUAUGCGCUAGACAUGCUGCUAGGCCUUGAGGAUGGAGGGGUGAAUGAGACAGGCAAAGCCUCAUGUUCUUUUGGUGGAGACAAGCAAUAAACACUUGAAUACACAUCUCAGACAAGAUAGUGCUGCAGAUGGUGAUGGGUGUCAGGGAGACUCCUCAUCACCUGAGGCAAGGGGAAAAGGCAUUGUGGGAGACGGGGGAGCUGUUCUAUUUGAGACUCAGUGGCCCCAGAGGAAGGGCUUCCUGGGACAGUGCCCUUUAAGCUGAGACCUGAGCAAAGCGUGAGAUUUAGCAAGGCAAUUUUCUAAGGGAAGGUUUUUUAGAUAAAGCAGACUGCAGGUGCAAAGUUCCCAGCCCUUGCUGGUAGAAUGAUCUCUCAGGCUCCUGAGCCCCCAAAGCACAAGAUUGCACCCCUUCCUCUGACAAGAGAGGAAGCGUGAAGCCCAGAUCUGGAGUCAGGCAGACCUGGCUUUACAUUCUGGCCCUGGUACUCACUAGCUGUGUGACCUUGCACACAUCACUUAGCCUCUCUGAGUGGUAGUUCCUGCGUCUGUCACAUGGGGAGAAUAAUGCUCUGUUCUUUACAGGUUUGUGUGAGGAUUCAAUGAAGUAACACCAAAAUGUUGCAAGCCCAGACUUGGGCAUCCUUAUGUGCUCAAACAAAUGAUCUCUGGGUUCCCUAAGAAGACCUCACCUUCUGCAUCUGAAAACUAGGUCUCUCUGACUCGGAGUGAAAAGCGAAUUUACCUUUCCCCAUCCUGGUGGCAACGAGGGGGCCCAUGGUAGAACUGUGCGCAGCUUGGACAAACUCUGGGAGAGGGGUCCCAGCUGGGGUUUCCUGUUGGACGCCCUUUGGAACUCAGAGCCCCGUUGACAGGAGGAGAGAGGAGCAGUUGAUUGGACAGCUCCCCACCCAGCCAGCCACACUAUCCGAGUCUCAGGCAUUUGGUGGAGUUCAGAGAGGAGGCCUCCAGCAAGCCCAGGUCAGGGCCAAGCUGUCACACUGGUGAGGUUCAUACUUCACAUUCUCACCCUCUUCCCCAGGCUUCCCCUCCCUGCCUCCUUUGCUAAACUUGCCCUUCCUUGAGAAAGGACGGGAGCUCAGUCGCUUUACAGCGACUAAGAGAGGAUGUCAGUCUUUGGAGAUACUCCUUCAUUUGACAUGUGGGGAAUCUGAAGCCCAGAGAUGGCAGGGCUUUGCCAGAGGCUACACAGCAGUCCUGAGGAUGAGAAUUCAUGUCAGAGACCCUUGAUCUAGGGCUGUUUCUCUAUGGUACUUCAUAGCCUAGUUCUGCCCAUUUUACAGAUGGAACAAACUGGGGCCCAAAACUGUGACAUAAGCCAGCAAAGGCUUCCCAGGCCAACAUUAGCAAUGAGGAAUGAGGAAUGUACUUUAGGCAGGGGUUGGGGGGAAUGGGAUCCUUCCAGGACCCCUCCAAUUAUUCGUAGACCCACCUGCUUUGAAGAUGAUCUCUGCCUCCCCUCUCCGCCCAGGGAAAAGACAUCUGGAGAGAUCUGUAGCUAUCAGCUCCCCUUUGUCACCCAGGAAUCCUAAAUCUCCCUAUCCUGACAGAUCAGCCCAGCUGGGGCCCAGAUCCACAUUGGUGCCCUUGUCUGUCUGGCUCCCGUGAGAGCUGGCUAUGAUGGUUGUGCACCUGGAGGCCACUAAGGUCAGGGUGGGCACCGCCUCACUCUGCUCCAGGGCUCUAGACCAAUGCCUAGGUAGGAGCUUUUUCUCAAGACUCGGACAUCAACAGCCAGGCCUGGCAUCAAAAGCCUCUCCUCACCUGCAUGUUUGCUGCCAGCUGCUCUGAGGGGUUGCGUUUCAUUUGUUCAUUAGCUCAUUCAUUCAUUCUUUCUUGCAUUCAAUAUCUCUAGAGAACCUGCAAGGUGCCAGGCACUGCCCCACACAUUGAAGGUAGAGCAGCAAACAAGAUGGUGGGGCCCUGCCUCCUGGAGCUCACUUUCUGGGGUGGGGAGACAGGCAGUAAAUCAAUAUACACAAGACAGAAGGUCAGAUGGAGGUAUCAAGGUGAGGCGGUGGUGCAUGAUGGGGGUGUUCUUUUAGACCAGGUAGUUGAGCAGCGGCCAUGAAAAAGUGGGGGUAGCGGGUCGGGGGUUCCUUGCUGAUGUCUGGGGGAGAAAUUUAGAAAGAGGGGCCUGUAAGUGUCAAGGCCAUGAGGGAGAAACAUGCCUGGUGUUUUGGGGGAUAGCAAGGAACGCAGUGUGGCUGGAGUGAGGGGGACAGAUGAGCGCGUGGGCAGGGAUGAGACUGGAGAAGGGAGGGGCCGCACAGUGGGGGGGUGGGCGGAUGGGGGACCCUCAAGGCACCGAGCUGCCCCACUUAUUCCGUGUCAGCCUCUGUCCAGCCCCUGCCUUGGGUGGCACCGUGCUGUCCCAGGCAGCGUGGACAUCAGGAGCUCAUUACAGAGCAGGCUGUCUGAGGGGCUUCUCUGCUUCUGCCACAUCCUCACACCCCUUUCACCUGUCCUAAAAGGCAGGAUGAAAAGGAUGAGAGAGGAAGCUGGCCUCCUGUGAGAAGAUGCUGGACUCAGAAAUCUUUGAAUUCUAGGCUUCACCUCUGAGUGACUGCAUGAACUUGGAAGAGCUACUUAAACGCUCUGAACUUCCGUUUCCAUAUCUGGCUAAAUAUACUGGCAGCACAAAUAGCUAUGAAAGCUAAGGGUCCACCACCCCCUGACCCAGCAGGUACACUCCUAGCUACAGACCCAAGAGAAAUGAGCACACGUGUCCAAAAGGCACGGACAAGGUGUUCGUGGGGGUUGUUCACAAUGGCCCCAAAUGAGUCAACCCUGAGGCUCAUCAUCAGAAGAAUGGCUGAAGCCGUGUGGGAUAGUUGUAGAGUGGAAUAUUUCAUAGCAACAACAUAAUGAAACUGCUGAUAGAUGCAGCAACGUGGAAGAAUCUGACAUUUUGUUGAGUGAAAGAAGCCAGACACACAAGAAUAGGAGCUGUGUGAUUCCAUUAAGCCGAAUUCAAUAACAGGUGAGGCUAGUCUGUGGUGAGAAAGGUCAGGAUAGUGGUUACCCUUGGGGGUGCUGACUGGGAGGGGGACUGAGGGAAGCUUCUGGCAUGUUGGAAGUGGUUUAUAGCCUUUUUUUUUUUUUUUUUUUGAAAUGGAGUCUGGCUCUGUUGCCCAGGCUGGAGGGCAGUGACACCAUCUCGGCUCACUGCAACCUCCGCCUCCCAGGUUCACGCAAUUCUCCUGUCUCAGCCUCCCGAGUAGCUGGGACUACAGGCGCCCAGCACCAUGCCCAGAUAAUAUUUGUAUUUUUAGUAGAGAUGGGGUUUCACCAUAUUGGUGAGGCUGGUCUCGAACUCCUGAUCUCAGGUGAUCUGCCUGCCUCAGCCACCAAAAAUUCUGGGAUUACAGGUGUGAGCCACCACGCCUGGCUGGAAGUGGUUUAUAUCUUGAUUCUAGUUGGUAUCACAUGGGUUUAUACCUAUGUGAAAAUUCAUUAAGCUUGAGCUCAUCAAAUAAUUUGAGAUUCAUGCAAGUUGUACCAGACGUAUGUUAUAUUUCAAUAAAAAGGUGUUUCAAAAUGCCUAGCGAGCUGGUGAAGGAUAAAUGGGAUUGAGAAUGUAGCUAUGCCUGCCUCAAAAUAGGGCCUUGUGAAUGUUCCUGCCUCCCUAGUGCCACUCUGAGGGACAAGGGGUGCCCUCCAGCAGCCAGGCUUUGUCUAGACUGUUUUGACAUCAACUGCCAUCGACUGCUGUGACCACCGUGACAGAGCACCAGCCAGGGUCAGGUGAUAUUGUGCUGUGCUGUUGGGUUUUGUUUUGUUUUGUUUUGUAUUUUUUUGUUUUUGCUUUAUUUUUUCUGUUGCUUUGCUUUGUGAUGAGAAAAUUAUUGUGCUUAUCAUCAUUAAUUUUAUUUAUUUAUUUUUGAGACUACAGUCUCGCUCUGUCACCCAGGCUGGAGUGCCGUGGCGCAAUCUCAGCUCACUGCAACCUCCGCCUCCCAGGUUCAAGCAAUCUUCCUGUCUCAGUCUCCCAAGUAGCUGGGAUUACAGGCACGCACCACCCAUGCCCAGCUAAUUUGUGUGUGUGUGUGUGUGUGUGUGUGUGUGUGUGUGUGUGUGUAUUUUUAGUAGAGACAGGGUUUUGCCAUGUUGACCAGUCUGGUCUCGAACUCCUGACCUCAGGUGAUCCACCUGCCUUGGCCUCCCAAAAUGCUGAGAUUACAGGCAUGAGCCACUAUGCCCAGCUGCUGAUUAUCAUCAUUCAAUGACGCAGCUUGCUAGCGUUCAGGUCCCCAGGCCUGGUGUGUGCAGCAGAGACCCUGGAGUGGGGAGCCAUCCCCUCCCUUUACAGAGGGGCAAGGUCCACCAGAGAUGAGCUUGGGAGCCUUGGGUUCACCCAACAAUGGAGUGGCAAUCCCCACCCCCAGCCUCCCUUGGCCCACAUCCCCAGUGCCCCCAGGAUCAACUGGCUGCACCACUUAUGCCCUUCCACCCUGCCCCAAAGUCACUGCCCCAGGCCCAGAGUGGGGAGUGAUGUCCCCAAGGCAAUAUGGGAAGUCUGCAGCAGAGCCAGGCUAGGCCAGGGGAGGCAGGGAGAUGAGAGGCUGAAGGCCUGGGCCACCUAGGCCACCUUGGCACCAGCCAAGCUUCCCCCUCGAGCCCAGGUGGGGAGGCCCUUCCUGAGCAAAGGCUAGGGGUCUGUGUCCUCUCUCAGCUCUGAAGAAGUGGUACAGUUAUAAGAUUAACGAGAGGAGUACUUUUAUCAUCAGCUCAGCAUCGGGUGGGCAUCCAUUGUACCCCUGUCUGCCAGGUACCAUGUAGGGUAAACCCUGCCGCCUAAGCCUAAGCCCCUCCUAUCUCAGGGUUACAAUCUGGGGUCCCCACUCUUCUUUUGGCCACUCCUUCUCACUUACCAUGGAAAUACCCCAGACCCAUGAGACGGGUGGCCCAAGGGAAAGAUUCCAGAGGUGAACGUGACCCAGCCCAGGAACUGAUCUUCCCUCCCUUCUCGCCAGCCUUCAGGUGUCAUUUUCAAUGUCACCUCCUCAGGAAGACCUCCCCUGGCUGGCCUCCCCUCCGACCCCUGCCUGAUCCAGCCUGUGGCUCCUUCCUUCUUCACCGCCUUGAUCACUCCCUGUGGUCUUCUAGUCAUUGGCCUGAUUCUUGGGCUAGAGUCUGCUCCCCUGCUUGAGUCUGGAAACUCCUUGGAGGCAGGAGCUGUGUCUAUUUUAUUCCCCACUGGGUGUCCAAUGGCUGUAUGAGGGAUGAAGGCAUGAUGCUGAAGAACCGCUCUGAAAGGGAUGCAGACACUGAGGGGAGCCACAGCCAGAGAAGGGAAGGAAGGGUUAGUUUUGGGGUGCGUGGUGUUUGGGGCUGAGCCUGUAUGGUUGCAGAGGGUUCAGGGAAAGCUGGCUGGGAUGGGGUUUACAGGAGAGGGCUGGAGGCCCUGCGAGAGUGUAACCUGGACACCUGGAGAUGCCAGGCCCUUCCUCUAUGAGCUGAAGGUCCCUGAUCUUGGUGAGAGGCCCGGCUGAAACCUCUGGCCAGGGGCCCUGUGUAGGGGAAGGCAGUUCCUGGGUCCACAGGACCCAGCCUGGGUGCCUACUCUCUGCUGUCCAUAGGACUCCCAGUCCAGCCGGGAGAGGCGCUUCUCCUCCCUGGGGAGGGUAGGCGGCCCAGGCCUUUUCCAUCAGUCACACUGGCCCUCCCAUUAGGGCUCUCCCUUGGUGCUUCUAUUUCUAGGAGUUCCCUGUGAGCCUCCAGCCCUCUCCCUGGCUGUGUGACCCAGAGAAGCCCUCCAGCCCUUAGAGAGGGUCACACAGAGAGGGAGAGGCAGAGUUGGGACUAACUCUAGGCCAGGACCUCCAGCUCCACCUCCACCAGGUGCAAGGUCCUUAUUCAGGCUGGCUGCCACAGGGUGGCCCCAGCAGCAGGUCCCACGUUCUCACUGUGGUUCAGCCAGGAGCCCAGCAUUCCCACACUGCCCAGGGGGGACUGCCGUUGUCAGGGGCAUCUUCCCUGGCAGUGCCCACGGCCCCACACCUGAACCUGAGUUCAGGGCGCUGAGAGUGCUGGCUUCAGGAAAGCCUAUUCUCUGGGUGUCUGCAAGGGUCUCUUCUGACACCCCCAUGAGACUGGGUCUUCCCCAGAGCAGGGCCUGUGCCUCCUCCAUCAGACUGGAGACUCCUUAUUCACAGGCCCCUCAAGCUUCAACUCUCCAGUCCUGUGGCACUGAAUCUCACUCCAGGAUCCCCCAACACCCUCAAGGCUGGCAAGAUACAUCCUCAUGCACCUCCUACUCCAGGCCAGGCCUCUCCGCAGGCUGGGGGUGGAGGCCUGGCCUGGGUCAGGUCGGGGUGCGGGGGACAGAUCUUCCAGCCCCCUCUCCCUGGAAGGUCCUUGUGAUCAUGGACCAUAUCUUAUUUGUUCCUGCAUCCCCUGUGCCUAUUGCAGAGACUGGCAUAGAGUGGGCUCUGGUGACAUGAACAAGGAGGAUGUAUAGAAGGUGACUUGGGAUGUUCUCUGAGGGGAUCCAGAAAGAAGUUCCAGGCCUCCAUAUCCCCAUCUCCGACAGCUCCCCAGGAGCCACAGUCUGGAAUUCCACUGAGGGAGAUAUGUCUUUGACAUUCUCUUCCUGGGAAUAAUUCAGAGGGUUCAUUUACUGCACUCAGGCCCGGAGGCUUUAGGGACUUUUGAGUCAGGAAACCGGGGUGGAAACCUGGGUGCUGGGAGAUCUGGGCAGGGACGGGUGUGCCAGCCUGCUCCUCAGCCUCCAGUGGGGAAGGGGUGAGCCCCCAGGGUGGGACUGAUCUCCAGACAGGCUUGCGCUGCAGGAGCCCUUGGGGCCUGUGGGAAUAGCGGGGCCUCUGACAGACGCUUUAUCAGGCCCUGUCGCCAGCGUUAUCUGCGGCUUCUCAGCAAAGAAGGAGCUACAGUCACUCAGACCACUCCAGGCCGGGAACAAAGCAGCCGAGUCAGCUGGCGUCCCAUGGCUCUACUGCCAGACCCGUGGGCUCGGCAGCCUGUGCCCCAAGCUGGGUGUUCAAGGAGGUGGCUGGCCCAGCCAGGCGACAGCCCGUCUGCUGGGACUCCCCCGCCAAGAGCCCGCCGUCACUGGGACCACCUCCCUUGAGCCUAUCUUCAGAAGGGGGAUGGGGCAUGGGGUCACUCCAGUCCUUCCAGGGCCCUGCUGAAAUGUCAGCCACAAAGGAUGGGACACAGAGGGGCCUGUCCAGGAACAAGGGCCAAGUGUCGGCGUGGGAUGAGGGCUGGGGCAGGGCUGGUCAAAUGUUUACUUGGAAUGAUUUGAGUGGGCACCCUCAGGCCACGGGGGCAGCUGGCGCCUGGCACGGAGCCCCUGUACCCACUCCCAUGGGGCACUGCAAGGAUUCAGGCCCACCCCAGAUGGGGCCUGAAUGAGAAAGCACCCAGAGAGGGCAGCCAGCCAAGUCCUGGGCAUGGUCCUUCUCUGCCAGUCUUUGCCCUCUGUUGGGGAGAAGCAGGAGCUGGGAAGGCCAGCUCCUCUCAUUCAGGAAGCACCUGCUUCUCUGGUCUGCAGGGCUGCCAGGAAUGGUUGGGCAGGUCACGCACUGCAAAAGGGCACCUUGUCGCUGAAAUAAGUGGAUCUGAAAUUUGUGCAAUGCAGUAAGGGGCUGAUUUAGCCCAGAGGCUGCUUUUUGGCAAUUUUCUGCUAGGAGAGGGCGCCAUUGCAUACCGGGCACUGGGGAUGACAACAUGGUUCUUUUGGUAGGAGCUCACAGGGUUUUCGGGGGAGGGUUGCCAGAUGUAAUACAGGAUGCCCAGUUGGAUUUGGGUUUCAGAUAAACAACGAAUAUACAUAUAUAAAAUAUGGGAUAUUAUAAACACUAUAUAUGUAAUGCUUUUAGUAUAAGUCCCAUGCAUUAUUGCAAUGUCUGAAGUGUCAUGAGGGACACCUCCCCCCAGUACGUAGGGUUAGGGCCCUGGGGCCAUGCGGGAGGCUGAGCAGCCGGGCAGUGUGGCUGCAGAGGAGCCUGAGAGGCAACAGGGACAAGAUGGAGUGUGGCCUUGAAGUGCCGGGAGUGAGCGGGGCCAGGCGGGGUUGUGAAUGGGACGCGCACCGUGGCAGGCUCCCUCUGGCGGCCGUGUGGAGAACAGGCUGCAGGGCGCCGCGGAAGAGGCCACCCCGUGAGGAGCCCAGAGCGCUGGGCCCCGGGCAGGGAGCGUGGAGCUGGAGAGAAACGGCUGACUCUAGACAUCUAAACUUUUUAUGAUGGAGAACGGUAAACGUAUACAAAUGUAGUGAGACGAGGCACGCCCAUGUCCUCAUGACCCGCGUCAACCAUCAUCAGCUCAUGGCCAAUUAUGUUUCAUAUAAACCUCUCACCCCUCCCAGCAACGGGAUUAUUUUGAAGCAAAUCCCAGACUUCAUAUUAUUUCAUCCAUAAAAAUGUCAGUAUAUAUCACUAAAAGAUAAGGCCUGGAUGUAUUUUGAAGCUGGAGCCACCAGGAAUUUGCCCGGAGCCUUCAAGCAGCUAUUAAGAGGGAGGGGCCCCCACCCCAGGAAGCUCCACACUGUGCAGUUAGUUCCCUGCUCUUCUGACCACCUCUCCUAAAGCUUUCUAGUUUUUUUCUCCCUGGGACAAGUCUUCCUAGGCCUGAGCCUCUUCUCUCCCUGCUCCUGACUGUGCACCCUCCUUAAGGAUGCCCCUUGGGCUGUGGUCUUGGACUCUCCAGAGCCUCCUUCCCCGAGUUCAGAGCGCCCACAGCCCUUUCCACUUCGUAGUCCCUUGAAAACAGGAUUGCCUCAUGUCUAGGCCUUCAAAGAUGACCCGUCCUGGGAACUCAGGACAGGCAGGCACCCUGGUGAAUGAGAGGAGAGCUCACAGGAAGUCACAGAACGAGGGACAGGGACACAGAUUCAAACGUGAAGAUACUACUAAGUGCAGAGGAGGCUCUUUGCUCUCCAGAAGGCCACCUCCUCCAGGAAGCCGUCUGGCUCUGCCUCCCUGGGAGAUUUUGAGUAGGUCACUUGCCCUCUCCCGGCCUGAGACAGGAACCGGUUCCUCACACAGAGCUUCUCCCUUCUCUCCCUCCUCUCAGAUUCUGCACCUGUAAAGUCCCUGGGACGGGAGGAGCUGAGGGGCAAACUGGACUCGGAGAGAAACUGCCAGGCCUCUAACUUCCGACAGGCAUAGUAACCCCACUUUACAGGAGAGGAAGGUGAGGUGGGAGAGGUAAAGUGACUUGAAGGGUCCGCCAGUGUGCAGGGCGCACAACCAGGAUUUGAGGGCAAAGCCAAACCCUCAGCCCUGGGCCCCAGGUGCCAGCCAGCUUUCAAGGGCCCACAUCUCUGGGCAGAAUCCGGCUCCGCGGUCCAAAUCCCGCAACCCCGCUACCUCCCAGCCUCCCCCAGCAGCUCUGGGAGGCCAGCGCCUCCCUCCUCAUUUCAUUUUACUCUGGCCCCCUUCUGUGGGCUGGGCACAGUGGGCACCAGACACACCACGCUUUUCUCUCAUUCAAUCCUCGCGGCAGCUCAGUGAGGGACCGUCCCCAUUUCACAGAAGGGGAAACGGACACUCCGACAGGCUCCAGGAGCUGCCCAGGGCCACACAGCUCUGCAGUAUAGGAGUCAGGAUGGAGACCGGGUCCUUUGACGGCAGGUGCUCCUUCCACUGUGUCGCAAGAACCUGCUUAGAACAGUCACCCAGUCUGAGGACCCGAGACUGCGUGCUCGUCCUGGCUUCAGCCAGCAUUUCUUGUUUUUUCUUUUCUUUUCUUUUCUUUUCCUUUUUUUUUUUUUUUUUUUUUUUAGAUUGAGUCUCUCUCUGUUGACCAGGCUGGAGUGUAGUGGCGCGAUCUCGGCUCACCGCAACCUCCCCCUCCCGGGUUCAAGCGAUUCUCCUGCCUCAGCCUCUCGAGUAGCUCCGGGACUACAGGCACCCGCCACUACGCCCAGCUAAUUUUUGUAUUUUUAGUAGAGACGGGUUUCACCGCGUUAGCCAGGAUGGUCUCGAUCUCCUGACCUCUUGAUCCGCCCGCCUUGGCCUCCCAAAGUGCUGGGAUUACAGGCGUGAGCCACCGCGCCUGGCCUUCUUGUUUUUUCUUACAAAUAACUCCUUUAUCGUGUUUCACCCACGUGCUCACACUUGAUCUUCCUAAAACCCACGCGAGGCAGGUCUGAUGAUAGUUCGACUUUUAUGGGCGAAGUGCCACAAGAGACCAGCCAGGGUCGGGGACCUUGUUCUUAAACUUUCCAGAUUGUCCCCAGGCUCGCGUCGCUCCCGGGAACGGCCAAUGGACGCUUGUGUUCUUCCAGCGCCCCCUACAGCCUUGCAAUGGCAUUAAAUCACCCUGCCGGACCAGUUACUUUUGCUUGAAAAGUUUUCUUUCUUCUCAAUACUUCGCUGCUGACUCUGGGCUUUUCCCUUACAAGUUUGGUUUAUUUAUUUAUUUAUUUAUUUUUGAGACGGAGUCUCGCUCUGUCGCCAGUCUGGAGUGCAGUGGCGCCAUCUCAUCUCACUGCAACCUCCGCCUCUCGGGUUCAAGCGAUUCUUCCGCCUCAGCCUACAGAGUAGCUGGGACUACAGGCGCGCGCCACCACGCCCAGCUAAUUUUUGUAUUUUUAGCAGAGACGGGGUUCCACCAUGUUGGCCAGGGUGGUCUCUAUAUCUUGACCUCGUGAUCCGCCCACCUUGGCCUCCGAAAGUGCUGGGAUUACAGGCGUGAGUCACCGCGCCCAGUCUUUUUUUUUUUUUUUUUUUAGAGACAGGGUCUUGCUCUGUCUCCAGGCUGGAGUGCAGUGGCACGAUCAUAGCUCGCUGCAGCUCAACCUCCCGGGCUCAGGCGAUCCUCUUGUCCCAGCCUCCCAAGUAGCUGGGACUGCAGCCCCGUGCCACCAUGCCCGGCUUCCCCUCACAAGUUUGGACCCACCUCGUCCCUCCUUGCUCAACAUAUUUAGCAAUAGUUAAAGCAUGUUUAUUUUCUGUAACUUCGUCUUCAGGAAAGUAAGAUAUAAUAAAGGCUUAACCAACUGGGGAGGUCGUCAGGCUUGAGAAUCACAAGGCGUGUGGAUCGCCACCAGCCUGGGAACUUUAAGGGGUGAGGUCUGUGUUCCCCCAUCGUCCUAGACCAAGGCUGUCCCAGGAAAGGGACUGUGUCUCCCUCAGGCUCCCCUGCCCCCCACAUCUCGAUGAGGCUCUUCAGAGCAAUGACAGGGGCAGUGAGUGGGGAAGAGGUGUCUUCUGGCCUCUGCUUACACCUUGCGGUGGGUGACACCCUGUGCCUGCAACAGAGGAGGGGAGUCCUGUGUUCCCUGAGGCUCGGGCGGAGAUUAGAAAGAGCCAGAAAGACCUGGCAGGUGCAGCCUGGGGCUCUCUCUGCACAUACAGGCCUUUCUCAGAGCCCAGAGGAACUUGAACCUGGGCAGCCGUGUGAGUGAAUCUUUCUGAGGGGGGCAUAUUUGAGUGGAAGACUGCCGUUCCAGGAGGCAGGAGCCUGGGACGGCAUUCACUGGGGAAGGGGGAGGGGCCAGGAGAGGAGAGCGGGAAAGGCCAGCCCAUGUCAAAGGUCCCAUGGUACCCAGGUCUCCACUCUGAAUGUCCUGCCGCCCACUGGUCACCCCAACCCUGAGGUCCUGCAGGUUCCUCAACCCCCAUCUCCAACAUUCCCGCCCACACCUCCCCCUCCUUCUGGGUUACUCCUCUUGGUUCAUUCAUUCAUCAGGCAUUCGACUAACACCUAGCUGAUCAUUUAUCAAGUGCCAGGUGUAUUUUGUUUGUUUGUUUGGUGGGAGUUUAUUGAAGUAUAAUUUACAUAUUGUAAAAUUAACCCUUUUUUAACGUACAGUUAUAUGGGAUCUGACAAAUUUUUAACAGAUGUGUAAACACUGCCACAAUCAAGAUAUAGAAUAUUUCCAUCAACCCAGAAAAUUCUUUCCUGCUCCUUGUAGUCAACCCCUCCUCCCACCUCCAGCCUCAGACAACCUCUGAUCUGUUUUCUGUCUCUAUAGUUUUGCCUUUUCCAGAAUGCCAUGUACAUGAAAUCAUACAGCACAUAAUCUUUUUAAUCUGACUUCUUUUGCUGGGCAUCAAUGCUUUUGAGAGUCAUCUAUGUGGUUGCAUGUAUUCAUAGUUGUUCCUUUUCAUUGGUGAGAUGGACUGCAGUGUAUAGGUAUAUACUACAAUAUAUUUUUCUAUUCACCAGAUGAUGAGCAUUGAGUUGUUUCUAGUUUUUGGCAAUUAAUAAUGCUACAGUAAACAUUCAUGUGUAGGUUUUUGUGCAAACAUAAAUGUUCAUUUUUCUGGGAUAGACGCCUAGAAGUGGAAUUGUGGGGUCUUAUGUAAAUGUAUGUUUCACUUGAUAGAAAUCUGCCAAAUUCUGGCCGGGCGCGGUGGCUCACGCAUGUAAUCCUAGCACUUUGGGAGGCUGAGGCAGGCAGAUCACUUGAGGUCAGGAGUUCGAGACCAGCAUUGCCAACAUGGUGAAACCCUGUGUCUACCAAAAAUAAAAAAAUUAGCUGGGUGGUAGUGGCGCGCACCUGUAAUCCCAGCUACUUGGGAGGCUGAGGCAGGAGAGUCUCUUGAACACAGUGGGGUUGGAGGUGGAGGUUGCAGUGAGCCGAGACUGCGCCACUGCACUCCAGCCUGGGUGACAGAGUAAGACUCUGCCAAAGGAAAAAAAAAAAAAAAGAAAGAAAGAAAGAAAAAAAGAAAAAGAAAUAUGCCAAAUUCUUAUUCAGAAUGGCUGUACCAUCUCCAAAGCCAUAAUAACCUCUGAAGUUUAAAUUUUAAUUUGAGUGUCUUGAAAAAUACCAGGAAGAAUCUUAUUCCUAACUGGAAGCAUCACUGUUUUGGGCAAAUGAAAGUUUUCCCUUCACUAGGGUAGCUGCUGGGUGUGGAAGUGAUGGCUUGUACAUUAAGCAUAUUCUAUAAAAACUGCCAAACCAUUUUCCAAAGUGAAAGGAGGAUUGCUUGAAUUUAGGAUUUCAAGUCCAGCCUAGGCAACAUAGUGAGAGCCUCAUCUCAAACAAAAAAAAAAUGCAAAAGUAGGAAUGCAAAAGUACUAGAGCUUUUGCAUUCCUCUAGUAAUGUUUGCAUUUUGAUUUUUCCACAUCUUUAUCAGGUGCUAGUCUUUAAAAAUGUUUUAUUAUGAAAAUUGGUAAUAUCUGCAAAAGUAGAAAGAAUAGUAUUAAUAUAAUGGGUCUCCGUGUGCUCAUCACCAGUUUCGUCAAUUACCCUUUCAUGGCUUAUCUUUUUUUUUUUUUUUUUUUUUUUUUGAGGUGGAGUUUCACUCUUGUUGCCCUGGCUGGAGUGCAAUGGUGCAAUCCCGGCUCACAGCAACCUCCACCUCCCGGAUUCAAGCGAUUCUUCUGCCUCAGCCUCCUGAGUAGCUGGGAUUACAGGCAUGCGCCACCAUGCCUGGCUAAUUUUAUAUUUUUAGUAGAGACAGGGUUUUUCCAUGUUGGUCAGGCUGGUGUCUAACUCUGGACCUCAGGUAAUCUGCCCACCUCAGCCUCCCAAAGUGCUGAGUGCUGAGAUUACAAGAGAUUACAAGCAUGAGCCACCGCACCCAGACUUUUUUUUUUUUUUUUUUUGACAGGGCCUCACUCUGUCACCCAGGCUGGAGUGCAGUGGCAUGAUAUCAGCUCACUGCGGCCUCAACCUCCCAGGCUGAAAGGAUCCUUCUGCCUCAGCCUCCGGAGUAGCUGGGACUACAGGUGCCACCACACCUGGCUUUUCAUGGCUUAUCUUGUUUCAUCCCCUGCUCUCCCACAAUGACCAAGUUACUUCUGAAGCGAAUCCUAGAUGUCGUAUCAUUUCAUUCCUAUUCAAUAUUAUGUCUAAAAGACAUGGAUUCCUUUUCUUUGUUUGUUUUGCUUUUGAGAUGGAGUUUCACUCUUGUUGCCCAGGCUGGAGUGCAAUGGUGCGAUCUUGAUUCACCGCAAGCUCCACCUCCCGGGUUCAAGCCAUUCUCCUGCCUCAGUCUCCCGAGUAGCUGGGAUUACAGGCAUGUGACACCACACCUGGGUAAUUUUGUAUUUUUAGUAGAGACAGGGUUUCUCCAUGUUGGUCAGGCUGGUCUCGAACUCCCGACCUCAGGUGAUCCACCUGCCUCGGCCUCCCAAAGUGCUGGGAUUACAGGCGUGAUCCACCAUGCCCGGCCAUGGAUUCCUUUUUUAAAAAGCCACAAUACCCUUAUCACAUAUAAAAUGUGUGCCAUUAUCACUCUUCCUAUCAUGAACUCUCCAGUCAGUGCUCACAUUUCCCAGUGUCUCAUGAAUGUCAUCAUUUCUCUUUUUUCAACUUGUUUGUUUGAAUCAGGAUACAAAUAAGGUCACUGUGUUCCAAUUGGUUUAUGUGUCUUUAAGUUACUUUGUUUGAAAGUCAUUUGGAAUAGUUUUUCUCUUUGUGGUAUUAAAGUAAAUUAAAAUGAAGACCAGGCCUAAAGAAUCCCUGAGCAAACAAAACCAGUUAGGCUCAGAAGUAGCCAACAAACUUAUAAUUAUAUAAUGAGGGACUUUCCUAUGGGAUAGAUUAAAUAAGGCAACUGUAUAACUGUAACCAAUCAAAUAUUUUCUUUGCUUUACUUCUGUGUUCCUUGUAUAAAAACCCAUCCCUUGUGUUCCCUCACUUCUGGUUUGGAACUGCCCAAUUCAUGAAUUGUUGUUUGCUCCUAUAAAUUCUUUAAAAUUUUAUUGUGCCUCAGUUUACUUUUUUCUUAUUUUUAGAGACAGGGUCCAGAUCUGUUACCCAGGCUGAAGUGCAGUAGCAUGAUCUUAGCUCACUGCAGCCUCAAAUUCCUCAAUCCUCCUGCAUCAGCCUCCUGAGAAGCCAGGACUACAGGUGCACAGCAGCACACCUGGCUAAUAUAUAUAUUAGAAACAGGGUCUUGCUAUGUUCCCCAGGCUGGGCUAGAGCUCCCAGCCUCAAGUGAUCCUCCUGCCUCAGCCUCCUAAAGUGCUGGCAGAGGUGAGCCACUGGGCCUGGCCUCAGUUUAAUUUGAAUGGUGGUUAAAUAAUUAAUUCAAUGUGUAGAUUUAUUUGCUUUAUUUUACUUUAGGUUUUUAGAAUUUUUAAAGCUUUUUAUUUAGAAAUUUAUUUAAAGAUUUUAAAUUUUAUUUCUGGUUCCAAAAUCUAUCAUACAAAUAUAUCCAGAAAGGUCUAGCUUUUAUGCCCCUUUCAAUCCUUUCCCUUCCCCAUAACUAUUAAUUUUUAAACAUUAUUCUUUAUUAUUACAUUAAUUUAAUAUGUAUCACAUACAUAAUGCAUAUGUAUUCGUAUCCCUCCCUCCUUUUUUUUUUUUUUUGUUUGAGAUGAGGAUCUCACUAUGUUGCCCAGGCUGGACUUGAAAUCCUAAAUUCAAGCAAUCCUCCUGCCUCAACCUCGAGUAGCUGGGACUACAGGUAUACGCCUCCACGUUUGGCUCUUCCUUCCUUUUAGGUAAGGAUUAGCAUGCAAUGACACUUCUCUGCCUCUUGCUGUAUUCACUGUCCAUCCCACUCCAGCUGUCUCUCCCUAGUAGUUGGUCAAGAUUGUCCUCAGUCCCCUUUACAGCCACAGAGUCCUCCAUUGUGCUGAUAACCACAGGCCUCUGCUGAUGGACAUUUUCCUUGCUCCCAUUCUUUAGCGAUUACAAAUUGAAUUGCAAUAAAAAGCCUGUGCUUACACCUUUUGGUAUUUUUGCUAGUGUCUCUCUACGGUAGAUUCCCAGCAAUGGGAUUCUUGAGUCAAAGGUUGAACAUACAUGCAAUUUUGCUAUAGCUAUUGCCAAAUUCCCCUGCAGAAGGCCUGCAUCAUUUUGCAUUCCCGUCAGCUCUGGCUAGGAGUGCCAGCAGAAUGCAUUGCCAAACUUUUGGAUUUUUGACAAUCUGAUAGGUAGGAAAUGGUAUCUCUGAGUAGUUUUAAUUUGCAUUUCUUUUGUUUGAGCAAUGUUGAUCAUAUUUUCACAGGGUUAUGAGCCAUUUGCAUUUCUUUGUCUGUGAAUUGUGUGUUAAUAUUUUUGUUUUGUUUUUGAGACUGAGUCUUGCUCUGUCACCCAGGCUGGAGUGCAGUGGUGCGAUCUCGACUCACUGCAAGCUCUGCCUCCCAGGUUCAUGCUGUUCUGCUGCCUCAGCCUCCCCAGCAGCUGGGACUAGAGGUGCAGGCCACCACGCCCAGCUAAUUUUUUUUUUUUUUUUUGUAUUUUUAGUAGAGACGGGGUUUCACCGUGUUAGCCAGGAUGGUCUCAAUCUCCUGACCUCGUGAUCUACCCGCCUCAGCCUCCCAAAGUGCUGGGAUUACAGGCGUGAGCCACUGCGCCCGGCCAUUGUCUGUUAAUAUUUUUAGCCCAUUUGUCUAGGAAGUUGUUCGUUUUUCCCUUCUCUACUUUUAGAAGCCAUUCACUAGAGACAUUCAUGCUUUGCCUGUGAUACAGGUUGCAAGUGUUUUCUGCCGUUUGUCAUUUGUCUUCUUUCUUUCUCUGUUUGUUUGUUCGCUUAUUUAUUCAUUUAUUCUGGGGAUGUAGCCAUGAACAGGGUGACCCUGAGGGGCUCCACUGACAUGCACAGCCCAAGUCAGAACCUUGGAUGGUCCUGUAUGCGCCUCGUCCCAACCCUUCCCUGUGCUGUCCUUUCUGCCUCUGACCCCUCUCCUGCUGCCCAGUGACCACCCUGCCCCUGUCCUUCCCUGCCUGGGCCCUCAGCAUCACCCAGUCUGAGCUCACAGAGGACUGGAAACAAGCCUGUUUGUCUCUGUAUCCCCCCCACGACGUGCAGGGCAACUGAUCAGUGAAUGAGUGAAUGAAUGAAUGAAUGAAUGAAUGAAUCCUGUGUGGCUAAAACAGCCUCUCCGCCCAGGAAGCCAAGUCAGAGAGGAGCUUGGAAGAGCACUUUCGAGAUCAAGGUUUCUUCACCCCUUGCAUUCUCUUCAGACCUAACUCAGGUCUGAGUUUCUACUCCCAAAUGCCUCACAGGCAAUAUAUGAUGCCUGCUUCUUUUCAUGAUUUAAAAGAACACUCGCUUAUUGUAGAAAAUGUGGAAAAUACAGCAGUACAAAAAAAGAAUUAGAAAUUCUCCAUUAACUCAUUGCCCAGAGGAAACGGCCGUGGGCAUUUUGGUGUAUUUUUAUUCAACUUUGAAAGACAUAUUUUAUUUUUACACAUUUUAUUUUAUACAGUAUAGACAUACAUAUGCAUACACGCCUCCUCUCAUGACAUUAAACUUUUGCACAACUUCACAAUUGUAAAUGAUCACAGAAAAAUGCCUCAAAAUGAAUGUAUCAUAUCCUAGCCCCACCACUUAACCUCUCUGUGCCUCAGUUUUCUCCUCUGUAAAACGGGGAUAAUAAUAGUAUCUACUUUAUAAGUUGCUUGUAAGGGUUCAAUGUGAUUAUGGUGUGAAUGUGGGAAGCGCUCAGAAAGUAUCAUUUUCAUUAUUAUUAGAACUAUUAUUCCUUAAUUGCAAACAUUUAAAUUCUAAUUUUAUUCUAUUGCAAAUGACACUGUAAUGAAUCUCUCUGCUCGGGAGGGUUGUGUGGGAACCUCAGGGAGCUUGCUUCACCCACCCCCGCCCCCCAAAUUAAGCACAACAGGGACAGAGAGAGCGAGGUGUGCUGGGAGGCCCCGUGGCUAAAAGUUAGGAGACCAGAUCUUGGCACUGGCAGCCUGGGGAAGGAGGGCAAAGGGGUGGGGGUGCAGGGAAUGGCAUCUGUGAAAGCUCAGAAGCUUCUAGAAGAGCAUGGGAAGUUCUGAUGUGGUUGCUGGGAUGGCAGUUCUUGUCCCUAUUUGACCUAUGGGUAAUUGAGGGCCAGGAAAGGGGUGACUUGUCUGAUGACGUGGAUGGGCACCAAGUCUGAGCUUCCUGGCUCUCCACAUGCCUGAAAAACAUCUGUGUUUGUUGGGAGAAGGAGAUGAAGAAGAGGAGGAGGAGGAAGAAUUUGGGGCUUUCGAAGCAUGCAUGCCUGUGUGCCCCUGCCCAAUCAAGGUUCAGCUGUCCUGCAAAGCAACCCAGCGGGUCCUGUGAGCUGGAGGCCAGUUUGCCCUGUUUGUCUCCAUGGGUCUUUUCCCUGAUGUCUCCCAAACAGAGACCGUUGGGCUGGCAGCUGGCAGGUCUCCUGAGCUCCACCCUCACCUCCCAUCCCUUCAACCCAGUAGCCUUGCAGACAAAGGCUGGAAAGCCAGGUCCCAUUUCCAGUCAUCAUCCACAGUGCAUAAUUAGGCAGUGCUUGCCUUGUGUUUAUUUAAAGAAGGAGUGUGAACUUGGCAUCAGUGCUUCUGCCAAGAGGGAAGAGCCCCGGAAGGCCCAGAGAAAGCUGGGGGCUUGGGCAGCAGGGGUUUGAGGCCUGAGAGGCCAGGCCGGCCUGUGGUAUAGACAUCGACAAGCAAAGUUUGAGGACUCCUGAAAGUUCUCCAAAAUCUUACCUGCUACCUGUCACCAUUCUCAGUCCGUUAUUAGAACUGUAGCUUCUCAACAGCUUUCUAAGUUCCAAAGAAAAUGCAAAUUAAUACUUCUUGGGGCGCCUCUAUCCUUUAUGGUCUGAAUUUGAGAACAUUGCAAUAGCAGCCUCAUUGCUGCACUAGUCCAAACACUUCUGUGUAACCCUCUUCCACAUGCAGUACUGAGGAGUUCUUGCUGCCUACUGUUUACAGAGGGUAGUCCAAGAAAUAAGAAAUGUCAGUCCCACAUGGUGAAAACUCUGCACUCUAGGGCUUGGGAAUUAUCUGCUAAUAAGACCUGACAUUUCUGAAGGCCAUUAUGAGUUAAACCUCAGGCUCAGAAUGUAUAAUGGGGAGAGAUUCUAGAUACUUCUAGACCACUCUUCUCAUGGAGUAGAAAAAAAUGUAGAGAAACCUCAGAGAGGGGAAGGGACUUACCUACACCAGUUAACGGUAGAGCUAGGACUAGAACACAGGUCUCCUGAUUUCAGUCUCAACUCUCAGGCACCAUGUUGCUUCCCUCCAUUCAAAGAUCAGUGAGGGGGCAGUCAGCACCAGCUGGAGUGUGGCAGUGAAGAGCUCACAGUCCCUGCCCAAGAGGAGCUCCCAGAGGCUGACAAGGGUAUGGGAACAGGGACUCAUCUGAAUCAGAGUGGGUGGAGUUUAGACAGGGGUGGGUCUGAAGAACUGUGGGGAACAGGGUGGUGAGACAGACAUCAGCAAAUUUCCCAAGGGGGUUAGCACAGGAGGUUGAAGGAUGAAUGGGGCUUCUUUACCAGGAGACAUAGGGAAAGGUGUUCCGGGAAAAGGGAAGGGCAAACUCAUGGGAAAAGGAGGCUGAUUUCUCCUGUUCCCAGGUUACAGUGGAUUCCCUGCGGGCUUAACCAGGAUCCCUAGCGCUCAGUGCAGACCCUCCCACGGCAGGGCCCGAGGCUGUAAUCUGUAACCUUAUUGUGACAUAUAUAGUUACAAAGAGAUUGGUUGGACAGGAUGGAUUUUAAUCGAAAAGAGUUAGCCUCUACUGGUGGAAAUGCGGACAUUGUGGCAGGUGAUGAGAAGAAUCCUUUUUGGGGUAGCAGUGGUGAAAACGCUUGCAUGGGUGCGCUGGCAUGCGUGCAGGGACACCUCUUCCUUGUUCUCAAUUCUGUUGACUUUCAAAUUGCAGUUUAAGAGCCAUCUUCCCAUGUCCAACUGUUAAGGUGGCCACUACCCCCUCCCUCUUCUGGACCAUGCCAUCCCCUGCUCUGAGUCUCAGUUUCUCCACAUGUAAAAUGAGGCAGGUGGACUUGCUUGUCUUAAAGGCCCCUUCUGCCUGGGGCUGGUUCUUUAGCCCAGUCUCUGCUUCUCCCUCUGCGGGGAUGUCAGAGGCGCCCUCUCGUGGUCAAUAUUGGCCAUGCAUCCUUGGACUUGGCGCAGGUUUUUGCUUGGCCUCUGAGGGUGUGUGCUUGUGUGUGCAUGUGCGUGUGAGCGUGCCUGUGUACUGGGAGUGGUUACACAGCGGGUGCGUGACAGGCUCAUGACACAUAGAAUGCAGAGCUUCGCUAACUCUCAGACCCUGAUGAAAACACAGAUAAGGAGGUGGGGGUCAUUUAAAAUAAGGGCAAAACCUGCUAAAAGCUUCCUGGGGCCCUUGCCUGGGACACCUAGAGUUCCAAAAUGCCCUAGGCCACCCAUCUUGCUAAUAUACUUUGAGAGCAUCACUCCUCUGCUCAGAAUCUCAUCCUGCCACCCCUCUGCUGAACAGAGUAAACAUCAAACUCCUGGCCCUCCAGAAUACCUGUGGCCUCACUUCUCACUCUUCUUUCCUAUACCACUCCAGGUGAACCACUCCAUCCUUCCCAUCCCCUAUCCUCAGCUUAUGCUGGGAUUUUUUUUCCCAGAGUGUCCUACCCUCUCCUUUAGUCCCCCAUAGCACCUUUCAAGAUGUGGCUAAAAUGCCACCUCCUCCAGGAAGACUCCCUGAAUUUUCCCACUUGGAUCUGUGCUCUCUUUCCUCUGAACCUCCUGGCAACUUUGUCUAUAACUGUCUCCUGGGAUGUAGACAGUUUUAGAGUUUACCCAGGUAAUUUAGGUCGAAGAUGUCCUGUUUUGUUCCCCCUACUCAAAAACUGGCUCCAUGACUGCUUUAUAUCUGGGUCCUUCUAAAUACUGAGCCUUCCCCAUGGCAUCCAGGCAUCCCUCUGCAAGGCCCUGAUUCCCACUCCUUCCCUCUGCCUCCUCCUUCAGUAGGGGCUGCUGUCAUGCAAGGAGGUCUGGCAGUGGAGGAAGAAGACAUGAGCCUUGGGCCAGACUCUUACUGGAUUCCCACCCCACCUGCCCCGUCUUCAGCAGACAAGCUGGUACCCAGCACAAAGGCUCCAGCUGCUGAGCUGUGUGUGGGAGCCUGGUCUCUGGGUGCCCAGAAUGAAGGGUCAGACCCAGGUCACUGCCUGACUCUUUCUUUCAAGGACCGAAGUAAGAACUACAGGCCUAACAGUAACAUCCCUGGCUAUUUGUAGAAGUCCGCUUGGUCGGUCCAUGCUCUAUAACAUGAAUUUCUCAUACAACCCAUUUUUAGAUGGGGAAACAAGAGCUCAGAGAGGCUAGGUAACUUGUUCAAGAUCACACAGCUCUGAGUGCAAGUGUUCAAACAUAGUCCCCACUUUCCAUCCGUCUCCAAAUCCUGUGCAGUUUCUGGAAUAUUCUGCUGUCACUGUGCCUUGCACAAAUCCAGGUUUUGAUAAAUUCCUGGAUAAUAAAAGGCAGACAUGAGUCAACAUAUAACCAGCUCUUUCUCUUUGACUUCCAUAUUGCCCCAGGCCCACACGCGGACCUCUGCAUGAGGGAAGAGUGACAGAACUGGGUUUGUCUGAGAGGGUGAUGGCUCGGGGGGCCAAAGGGAGAGGUGAACCCUGCAUCCCAGGAGGGGUGAAUUCUCUGAUGUGAAUCAUCUGGGUGGUAGGGAGUAAUGGGUCCUGGGCAUGGUGGGGACUGUCACACCCUGAUGCGCUGUCCCAGUUAGGUUGGAGGAGGCUGGGAGGGCCAUCUGACCACAAUGCAGGUCUGUUGCGGACCUCAAGGAGCCUGCAGGGAGUGCAGCCACCUCAGGCACACACCUUGGUGAUAGAUUUUAC